CCUUCCCGCCCCCCCAGGGCCCUACCCCAGCCACGUACAUCCCAGCAGGAGCCCUGGGGAAGCUUUGACAUUCCCCUCCCCCUCUCCCCUUCGCUCCCCGCUUGCUUUCCCACCCCUGGGCCCAGAAAUGCACCCCCAGCUCCUGCCCCUGCGGGGACAGCCCUGAGGUGAGGCCAGCCCCCCUCACGCCAUGCUUCUCCCCUGCAUUUGUAACCCCAAGUGAAAAGAAGGAUGACUCUAGCACCUCAGAUAAUUAGCAUUUCUCACUGCAUUAUGACGGAGAAAAAUACCUCUUCUCACUUUGCGCUCUGCUUGCCUCUGCCCUAGAAGAGCCCAACGUCUCCUGUUGCCUCAGUCACAUCCCAAACUGAUCCCAGACUGAUUGCUACUAGAUCUUCCUUUUGCUGGGGAAAAAGCUGUAUUUUUUAAGCUCACACGAGCUAAUGUGUGAAAAUGCGAAUGGCAAACUUCAUGAGUUGAGCAACAACCCCUACAGCCUACAUUUUACUUUGGAGAGUUACCACUAUACUUUACCUGUCCUUCAGUGAAAUUUUGACACCUGUGUGCUAUCAUAUGGUUAAAAAAAUCCAACCA